rnacentral:rRNA from 1 species
AGGCCGGUACUCGCAAUGANUACAGCUUAAGUUUGAUCAUGGCUCAGAUCCAACGCUGAUAGGGAUGCCUUACACAUGCAAGUCGAACGGCGGCACAGACUUCGGUCUGGUGGCGAGUGGCGAACGGGUGAGUAAUGUAUCGGAACGUGCCCAGUAGUGGGGGAUAACUACGCGAAAGCGUAGCUAAUACCGCAUACGCCCUACGGGGGAAAGCAGGGGAUCGCAAGACCUUGCACUAUUGGAGCGGCCGAUAUCGGAUUAGCUAGUUGGUGGGGUAACGGCUCACCAAGGCGACGAUCCGUAGCUGGUUUGAGAGGACGACCAGCCACACUGGGACUGAGACACGGCCCAGACUCCUACGGGAGGCAGCAAGUGGGGAAUUGGGACAAUGGGGGAAACCCUGAUCCAGCCAUCCCAGCGUGUGCGAUGAAGGCCUUCGGGUUGUAAUGGCAACUUUUGGCAGGAAAGGAACACGUCCAUGGGUUAAUACCCCGUGAAAACUGACGGUANNCUGCAGAAUAAGGCAACCCCGGAUUAACUUACGUUGGCCAAGNCAAGGCCCGACGGGAUAAAUACACGGUACAGGGUGGNCAAAGGCCGGUACAUUCGGGACAUUAACUUGGGCGUUAAAAGACGGUGNNGCNCAAGACCAGGGUACGGGAAACAGAAAANCGAUGGUNNAAAUCCCAGAAGCUUUA